CUGAGAUCAGAGUGAUCAAAAGGGGAGAGUCAGCCGAUUGAAUCACUGAGGGUUUUUGGAAGCUUGCUUUUCCACAGAGGAUCCACCGGUGAUGUGAACACUGCACCAACCAAAAUGAGUGGUACAUGCACAAGACCCUGUUUCUGAGAUCAGCUUAUAGAUGUUCCCUAGCAUUAUGUCUGGAUCUGAUUGAUCAUAUUGUCCUGUUAGACCCCCCCUCCCCUCCUUUUCCUUUUCUAUUAUGUAAAUAUUUAGCCUUUUGUACACGUCUUUCGUCGAGAAAAUAUGAUCAUACUUCCUUUUCU